GAUGAACGCUAGCGGCAGGCUUAACACAUGCAAGUCGAGGGGCAGCAUAACAUUGCUUGCAAUGUUUGAUGGCGACCGGCGCACGGGUGCGUAACGCGUAUGUAACCUACCUCAAACAGGGGCAUAACACUGAGAAAUUGGUACUAAUUCCCCAUAACACUUUGGGAGGCAUCUUCUGAAGUUGAAAGUUCCGGCGGUUUGAGAUGGACAUGCGUUGUAUUAGCUAGUUGGUGGGGUAACGGCUCACCAAGGCGACGAUACAUAGGGGGACUGAGAGGUUAACCCCCCACAUUGGUACUGAGACACGGCCCAGACUCCUACGGGAGGCAGCAGUGGGGAAUAUUGCGCAAUGGGGGAAACCCUGACGCAGCAACGCCGCGUGAAGGAAGAAGGCCUUCGGGUUGUAAACUUCUGUUCUUAGGGAAGAAGACAGUGACGGUACCUAAGGAGCAAGUCACGGCUAACUACGUG
rnacentral:rRNA from 1 species